rnacentral:rRNA from 1 species
GAUGAACUCUUUCUUCGUGCCUAAUACAUGCAAGUCGAGCGAACAGACGAGGAGCUUGCUCCUCUGACGUUAGCGGCGGACGGGUGAGUAACACGUGGAUAACCUACCUAUAAGACUGGGAUAACUUCGGGAAACCGGGGCUAAUACCGGAUAAUAUAUUGAACCGCAUGGUUCAAUAGUGAAAGACGGUUUUGCUGUCACUUAUAGAUGGAUCCGCGCCGCAUUAGCUAGUUGGUAAGGUAACGGCUUACCAAGGCAACGAUGCGUAGCCGACCUGAGAGGGUGAUCGGCCACACUGGAACUGAGACACGGUCCAGACUCCUACGGGAGGCAGCAGUAGGGAAUCUUCCGCAAUGGGCGAAAGCCUGACGGAGCAACGCCGCGUGAGUGAUGAAGGUCUUCGGAUCGUAAAACUCUGUUAUUAGGGAAGAACAAAUGUGUAAGUAACUAUGCACGUCUUGACGGUACCUAAUCAGAAAGCCACGGCUAACUACGUG